rnacentral:lncRNA from 1 species
AUGGAGGAGAACUAUCCUACAAUGAAAGAAGAACGGUCUGAACUGACAGUUCUGAAGGCUCAACUGGAAAAAGAGAUUUCUGCUCAGAGAAAGCAGAAGGAGGAAACACAUCAGCUGAUUGUUCAACAUGAGGAGGAAAGGAGACAACUGGAAUCACUCCGAGAAGAAAUCAACCUUCUGACAGCAGACAGAAACACACUGGCAGAUGAACUGCAACACCGUAAAGCGCUGGAGUCUGAAUGUAUGGAGAUACAAGCAGAAACCAACCACUUGGUGGAACAAGUUCUCAACUGUACACAAGAUGUUUCCGAGCUGAAGGAAAUGAUUUCAGUGUUUGAUGAUGUGCAAGAAAAACUCAAUGUUGCAAAGGAGGAAAAUCUGAAGGCAAAGAACAAAAGCCACCUUCUCCAGAACCAAAUCCAAGACCUGAAGGUUCAGAUGCAGAAUCCACAACAGGCAAUCGCUGAUCUACAGAAAGAAAUCAACCAUCUCCAGGAGAAAAAUAAAGAAAUUACAGAGGUUCAAGCUGAACUUGACAGAAUCUCUGAGAAAAAGUCCAAACUGGAGGACAAGAAGAAGCAGCUUCAGGAUGAGGUUUCACAUCUGAAACAGCAGCAGGAGGAAGUACAGGAACUGGCUGUUCAGUACAACAAUGUACUGGAUCAACUGGGACCCCUUCAAGAGGAAACUAACAACCUCAAAGAGGAAAGAAAGAAGCUGACUGAUCUUCUGAAACACCGUCAAAUACUGGAGACUGAAUAUAAGGAGAUCAAAGCUGAAGCGGAUCAGGUAGAAGAUGAAAACUUCCACCUUCAUGCUGAAGUUGAUGAUCUGCAGAAGAAGCUUUCAAAUAUGAAAGAUGAGGAGGACAAAGUUUUAAAAGAAAAGGAGAGAAAUCUGAAAGCAAAGCAAGAACAUGACCUUCUCCAGAACCAGAUCCAAGACCUGCAGGUUCAGAAGCAGAAUCCCAAACAGGUUUCACAUCUGAAACAGCAGCAAGACGAAGCUCAUGAACUGGUUGUUAAGUACAACAUGGUAAUGGAUCAACUGAAGGGACGAUUUAAGUACAACAAAGUACUGGAUGAACUGAAGAGACGAACAAUAAUGAGAAGGAAGUUAUAUGAACUGAAAAGAACACCAGGAAGAGUUCAGAACUGA